GCACAUGCUGUGAGCUCGAUGAGUAGGGCGGGACACGUGGUAUCCUGUCUGAAUAUGGGGGGACCAUCCUCCAAGGCUAAAUACUCCUGACUGACCGAUAGUGAACCAGUACCGUGAGGGAAAGGCGAAAAGAACCCCGGCGAGGGGAGUGAAAAAGAACCUGAAACCGUGUACGUACAAGCAGUGGGAGCACGCUUAGGCGUGUGACUGCGUACCUUUUGUAUAAUGGGUCAGCGACUUAUAUUCUGUAGCAAGGUUAACCGAAUAGGGGAGCCGAAGGGAAACCGAGUCUUAACUGGGCGUUAAGUUGCAGGGUAUAGACCCGAAACCCGGUGAUCUAGCCAUGGGCAGGUUGAAGGUUGGGUAACACUAACUGGAGGACCGAACCGACUAAUGUUGAAAAAUUAGCGGAUGACUUGUGGCUGGGGGUGAAAGGCCAAUCAAACCGGGAGAUAGCUGGUUCUCCCCGAAAGCUAUUUAGGUAGCGCCUCGUGAAUUCAUCUCCGGGGGUAGAGCACUGUUUCGGCAAGGGGGUCAUCCCGACUUACCAACCCGAUGCAAACUGCGAAUACCGGAGAAUGUUAUCACGGGAGACACACGGCGGGUGCUAACGUCCGUCGUGAAGAGGGAAACAACCCAGACCGCCAGCUAAGGUCCCAAAGUCAUGGUUAAGUGGGAAACGAUGUGGGAAGGCCCAGACAGCCAGGAUGUUGGCUUAGAAGCAGCCAUCAUUUAAAGAAAGCGUAAUAGCUCACUGGUCGAGUCGGCCUGCGCGGAAGAUGUAACGGGGCUAAACCAUGCAC
rnacentral:rRNA from 1 species